GUUGUAUAGUCAAGUAAUUAAGUGCAUGUGGUGGAUGCCUUGGCAGUCAGAGGCGAUGAAAGACGUGAUAGCCUGCGAAAAGCUCCGGGGAGGCGGCAAAUAUCCUUUGAUCCGGAGAUGUCUGAAUGGGGGAACCCACCUACUUUAAGGUAGGUAUUGCAACAUGAAUACAUAGUGUUGCAAGGCGAACGAGGGGAAGUGAAACAUCUCAGUACCCUUAGGAAAAGAAAUCAAUUGAGAUUCCCUCAGUAGCGGCGAGCGAACGGGGAUCAGCCCAUUAAGUUAUGUGUGUUUUAGUGGAACGCUCU
rnacentral:rRNA from 1 species